AUUGAACGCUGGCGGCAGGCUUAACACAUGCAAGUCGAGCGGAGAGAGGUAGCUUGCUACUGAUCUUAGCGGCGGACGGGUGAGUAAUGCUUAGGAAUCUGCCUAUUAGUGGGGGACAACAUUUCGAAAGGAAUGCUAGUACCGCAUACGUCCUACGGGAGAAAGCAGGGGAUCUUCGGACCUUGCGCUAAUAGAUGAGCCUAAGUCGGAUUAGCUAGUUGGUGGGGUAAAGGCCUACCAAGGCGACGAUCUGUAGCGGGUCUGAGAGGAUGAUCCGCCACACUGGGACUGAGACACGGCCCAGACUCCUACGGGAGGCAGCAGUGGGGAAUAUUGGACAAUGGGCGCAAGCCUGAUCCAGCCAUGCCGCGUGUGUGAAGAAGGCCUUAUGGUUGUAAAGCACUUUAAGCGAGGAGGAGGCUACUUUAGCUAAUACCUAGAGAUAGUGGACGUUACUCGCAGAAUAAGCACCGGCUAACUCUGUGCCAGCCGCCGCCGUAAGAC
rnacentral:rRNA from 1 species